rnacentral:lncRNA from 1 species
CGGCCAUUCCCCCGCGCCUUGAGUUCAGCCGGCGGAACGCCUGACACUGGGAAGGUUUUUUUGGGGGGGUUAUCGGGGGGAGACUAACCUUCGGGGACAACACAAUUCCGGUGCCCCGGAUCCUCGGCAGGGAACCAGGGCGGGGGGUGUGUGGGGAGAUGAGCAAAGAGAGCAGAGAAAGAGGAAGAGAGACCCCCCCCCAGCCCUCCCGGUCCACCCUUCUGCAGUCCCCACCAAGGUGGCCUGGGAGCUCGCAGCUCGCUGGGCUGCGGGGAGUACGCACAACACCCCCCUCCUCUAGAAGUCCCCCCAGCCCCCUCCGCAGUACCCCCCAGUCCAGCGCGGACGGUCGAGGGGGAGGCCAGGCCGGGAGCGCGGGCCCGGAGCGCCGGGGGCGGAAGCGCGAAACGGUAGAGACCUACUUUUGGCUAGCUUUCUGGCCCUCGCCUUGGAUCUCAUGUUGUCGGCUGGCUGAAUCCCUCUCCUCCUCCUUGACUCCCGAAGCUGCUACACGCUAUCUUCAUCUCCCCAGCAUUGUCAAUUCCGGACACCUUCGCACAUGCGCACAGAGCCUUCAAUCUGACACCCCUCGCCGGGGCCAAAAAAACUUUCCAAUGUAUUCACCAUCAUCACCAUCACCAUCAUCACCAUCAUCAUCAUUGGCGGCGGAGGCGCUGAGUACGGGCUGGAGGUGGGAUUGCUUUGGGGGGACAUUUUCUUCUUUCUUUCUUUCUUUCUUUUGGGGGGGUGCUCUCCUCUUCCUCACCUCACUUGUCUCCCCCCUUCCUCCUCCCUUCUUCCCCCUCCCCCUCCCCCUCUGCCUCCUUCUCAACCACCUCGGAGCCUCUCACGACUGGCCCUUUAAGAGAAUAUUCCGUCCUCUCUCCGCGCUCCUGCCCCCGGCCGGCCCCACAGCCCGGACGCGCUUUCACCGGAUCAAGUUACUUGGAUGGAUCUUGACCUCCUAGACAUCUGGGCGGCUUCAUGAGAGAAAGAGAGCUGAGGGACAACACAUAUUCCUGGACCUGGAGGCCUGACACAAAUGAGACAAACACUAAGGACUGAAAAUGUUUGAGACCCUUGAGCCAGGGACUGAGCAGGAUAUAGUCAGUUAAUCAUUCAUUCAACAAACUGUAACCUUGCCCAGUUAGGCAAACCUCAAAUGACUUCACUGGGGAAGGAAGGGGAAAGGGCAGGCUUCCCUUGUGGUUUUUCUUGCCAAGUACUUUUUCCAGCAAAUCCUGGGUGCUUCAGGGAGAAGAUAAAAGAGGUAGGUCCCUGCCCAUCAAGGCUUUAGCUAGUCCCUGUGAUCUGCAGCCUGCCAUUUUUCCUCUGUUCCCUUCAUCUAGAACAAUUUUAGGAACUUCAAAAUCUUGACUUUGCAAAGUAUGAGUUCGUCGUUUUUUUAGAAUGUAAACUCUUUGAGGGCAGGCAUUGUUUUGUCUUUGAAUCCCAGUACCUGGUACAGUGCAUGGUGCACAAUUGGCAUUUAAUAAAUGCUUAUUUAUUUUUACUUGUAUUUAUGCU